rnacentral:rRNA from 1 species
CCUACGGGAGGCAGCAGUAGGGAAUAUUGCUCAAUGGAGGAAACUCUGAAGCAGCAACGCCGCGUGGAGGAUGAAGGUUUUCGGAUUGUAAACUCCUUUUGUUAGAGAAGAUAAUGACGGUAUCUAACGAAUAAGCACCGGCUAACUCCGUGCCAGCAGCCGCGGUAAUACGGAGGGUGCAAGCGUUACUCGGAAUCACUGGGCGUAAAGAGCGCGUAGGCGGGAUAGCAAGUCAGAUGUGAAAUCCUAUGGCUUAACCAGAGAACUGCAUUUGAAACUGUUAUUCUAGAGUAUGGGAGAGGUAGGUGGAAUUCUUGGUGUAGGGGUAAAAUCCGUAGAGAUCAAGAGGAAUACUCAAUGCGAAGGCGACCUGCUAGAACAUAACUGACGCUGAUGCGCGAAAGCGUGGGGAGCAAACAGGAUUAGAUACCCCAGUAGUC